rnacentral:rRNA from 1 species
GUCGGCGUGCUUAACACAUGCAAGUCGAACGGAAAGGCCCUGCUUUUGUGGGGUGCUCGAGUGGCGAACGGGUGAGUAACACGUGAGUAACCUGCCCUUGACUUUGGGAUAACUUCAGGAAACUGGGGCUAAUACCGGAUAGGAGCUCCUGCUGCAUGGUGGGGGUUGGAAAGUUUCGGCGGUUGGGGAUGGACUCGCGGCUUAUCAGCUUGUUGGUGGGGUAGUGGCUUACCAAGGCUUUGACGGGUAGCCGGCCUGAGAGGGUGACCGGCCACAUUGGGACUGAGAUACGGCCCAGACUCCUACGGGAGGCAGCAGUGGGGAAUAUUGCACAAUGGGCGGAAGCCUGAUGCAGCAACGCCGCGUGCGGGAUGACGGCCUUCGGGUUGUAAACCGCUUUCGCCUGUGACGAAGCGUGAGUGACGGUAAUGGGUAAAGAAGCACCGGCUAACUACGUGCCAGCAGCCGCGGUGAUACGUAGGGUGCGAGCGUUGUCCGGAUUUAUUGGGCGUAAAGGGCUCGUAGGUGGUUGAUCGCGUCGGAAGUGUAAUCUUGGGGCUUAACCCUGAGCGUGCUUUCGAUACGGGUUGACUUGAGGAAGGUAGGGGAGAAUGGAAUUCCUGGUGGAGCGGUGGAAUGCGCAGAUAUCAGGAGGAACACCAGUGGCGAAGGCGGUUCUCUGGGCCUUUCCUGACGCUGAGGAGCGAAAGCGUGGGGAGCGAACAGGCUUAGAUACCCUGGUAGUCCACGCUGUAAACGGUGGGUACUAGGUGUGGGGUCCAUUCCACGGGUUCCGUGCCGUAGCUAACGCUUUAAGUACCCCGCCUGGGGAGUACGGCCGCAAGGCUAAAACUCAAAGGAAUUGACGGGGCCCCGCACAAGCGGCGGAGCAUGCGGAUUAAUUCGAUGCAACGCGUAGAACCUUACCUGGGUUUGACAUGGAUCGGGAGUGCUCAGAGAUGGGUGUGCCUCUUUUGGGGUCGGUUCACAGGUGGUGCAUGGCUGUCGUCAGCUCGUGUCGUGAGAUGUUGGGUUAAGUCCCGCAACGAGCGCAACCCUUGUUCACUGUUGCCAGCACGUUAUGGUGGGGACUCAGUGGAGACCGCCGGGGUCAACUCGGAGGAAGGUGGGGAUGACGUCAAGUCAUCAUGCCCCUUAUGUCCAGGGCUUCACGCAUGCUACAAUGGCUGGUACAGAGAGUGGCGAGCCUGUGAGGGUGAGCGAAUCUCGGAAAGCCGGUCUCAGUUCGGAUUGGGGUCUGCAACUCGACCUCAUGAAGUCGGAGUCGCUAGUAAUCGCAGAUCAGCAACGCUGCGGUGAAUACGUUCCCGGGGCUUGUACACACCGCCCGUCAAGUCAUGAAAGUUGGUAACACCCGAAGCCGGUGGCCUAACCGUUGUGGGGGAGCCGUCGAAGGUGGGACUGGUGAUUAGGAC